CUGGUGUCAGCCGCCGCGGUAAUACCAGCACCUCGAGUGGUCAGGACGUUUAUUGGGCCUAAAGCAUCCGUAGCCGGCUUUGCAAGUCUUCGGUUAAAUCCACCUGCUCAACAGAUGGGCUGCUGGAGAUACUACAAAGCUAGGGAGUGGGUGAGGCAGACGGUAUUCAGUGGGUAGGGGUAAAAUCCUCUGAUCCAUUGAGGACCACCAGUGGCGAAGGCGGUCUGCCAGAACACGUUCGACGGUGAGGGAUGGAAGCUGGGGGAGCAAACCGGAUUAGAUACCCGGGUAGUCCCAGCUGUAAACGAUGCAAACUCGGUGAUGCAUUGGCUUAUGGCCAAUGCGGUGCCGCAGGGAAGCCGUUAAGUUUGCCGCCUGGGAAGUACGGACGCAAGUCUGAAACUUAAAG
rnacentral:rRNA from 2 species